rnacentral:rRNA from 1 species
GACGAACGCUGGCGGCGUGCCUAAUACAUGCAAGUUGAGCGCUGAAGGUUGGUACUUGUACCGACUGGAUGAGCAGCGAACGGGUGAGUAACGCGUGGGGAAUCUGCCUUUGAGCGGGGGACAACAUUUGGAAACGAAUGCUAAUACCGCAUAAAAACUUUAAACACAAGUUUUAAGUUUGAAAGAUGCAAUUGCAUCACUCAAAGAUGAUCCCGCGUUGUAUUAGCUAGUUGGUGAGGUAAAGGCUCACCAAGGCGAUGAUACAUAGCCGACCUGAGAGGGUGAUCGGCCACAGUGGGACUGAGACACGGCCCAAACUCCUACGGGAGGCAGCAGUAGGGAAUCUUCGGCAAUGGACGAAAGUCUGACCGAGAAACGCCGCGUGAGUGAAGAAGGUUGUCGGAUCGUAAAACUCGGUUGGUAGAGAAGAACGUUGGUGAGAGUGGAAAGCGCAUCAAGUGACGGUAACUACCCAGAAAGGGACGGCUAACUACGUG